UACGGAGGAUGCAAGCGUUAUCCGGAUUUAUUGGGUUUAAAGGGUGCGUAGGCGGAAGGAUAAGUCAGCGGUGAAACGUACGGGCUCAACCCGUGAACUGCCGUUGAAACUGUUCAUCUGGAAUGCGGAUGCUGUGGGAGGAAUGUGUAGUGUAGCGGUGAAAUGCAUAGAUAUUACACAGAACACCGAUUGCGAAGGCAUCUCACAAAACCGCGAUUGACGCUGAGGCACGAAAGUGUGGGGAUCGAACAGGAUUAGAUACCCUGGUAGUCCACACAGUAAACGAUGAUAACUAGCUGUAGGCGAUAGACAGUCUGUAGCGGAGCGAAAGCGCUAAGUUAUCCACCUGGGGAGUACGACCGCAAGGUUGAA
rnacentral:rRNA from 1 species